UCGGACCCGGGGGCAGUACCCGGCGCCUCCACCAAUCACCUCCGCCUCGCGGCGGAGUCGACGGGGGCGAACCAGGAUCGACGAGCGUGGUAAAGGCGCGGUUUUUGCCCGGUAUGGUUCCGCCGUGACGGGCCAUUCACAAGUGCCAACGAUAACGACGUUGCACUCGCUGCUGCCGCCUAAACAGCGGACGUAAGCGCGGUUCGGGAGGGCACCGGGCAACAGAAGCCCUCCCACU
rnacentral:tmRNA from 1 species